rnacentral:lncRNA from 1 species
UAAAAGGUAAAAAAAACAAAAAAUAAUAUAUUUUUUAAAAUAAUUAAACAAUAUAUAUUUUUUAUUUGUGUCCAAAUACUUCGUUACCAAGCAAAACUCUUCCAUGAUCUAUCUAUCAUCUAUCCUUGGAUGCUCUGACCAACUGUCUUACUGGAGUACAAAAUGCAAAGUUAAUAACUUAAUAUAUCCAAGAUAUCUUUAUGACUCUGUCUGGGGUUGUCUCCUCUCAUUUUUUUAAUACCUGUGUUUAUUUCUUUUAAUUCAAUUUUGAUGCCAAUAUUUUACUUUCUUUUGACAUUAAAAUAAAUAUUUGUGAUGCAUUGAGAAGCUCAGAAGCAC